UGUGUGAGCUUUUUAUAUAUUAUGGAGAUUAACCCCUUAUUGGAUAUAUGAUUUUCAACUAUUUUCUCCCAGUUGGUGGGUUGUUUUUUCAUUUUGAUCUUGGUUUCCUUUGCCUUCCAGAAGCCCUUUAGUCUGAUGAAGUCCCAGUUGUUUAUUUUUCUUUUUUUACCCUUGUCUGAGUAGACAAGAUAUUCAAAAAUAUCCUUUUAAGUCUGAUAUCAAAGAGUGUACUACCCAUAUUCUCUUCCAGAAAUUUUAUGGUUUCAGGUCUUACCUUCAAGUCUGUGGUCCAUUUUGAGUCUAUUUUUGUGCAUGGGGAAAGAUAAUGGUCUACUUUCAUUCUUUUGUGUGUGGCUGUCCAGUUUUCCCAGCACCAUUUAUUAAAGAGGCUUUCCUUACUCCAGUGUAUGUUCUUGGCUCCUUUGUCAAAGAUUGGUUGUCCAUAGAUGUGUGGUUUUAUUUCUGUGCUUUCAGUUUGGUUCCAUUGAUCUGUGUGCCUGUUCUUGUACCAGUACCAAGCUGUUUUGAUUACUAUACCUUUGUAGUAUAUUUUGAAGUCAGGGAUUUCCCUGCCACCAGCUUUGUUCUUGUUUUUCAGUCUUGCUUUGGCUAUUUGGGGUCUUUUGUUGCCCCAGAUGAAUUUUAUGAUUCUUUGUUCUAUUUCUGUGAAGAAUGUCAUUGGAAUUCUGAUUGGGAUUGCAUUGAAUCUGUAGAUUGCUUUAGGUAGUAUGGACAUUUGAACUAUGUUUAUUCUUCCAAUCCAUGUGCAUGGAAUAUCUUUCAAUUUCUUUAUGUCAUUAUCGAUUUCUUCCAGUAAUGUCUUAUAGUUUUCUUUGUAUAGGUCUUUCACCUCCUUAGUUAAAUUUAUUCCUAGAUAUUUUAUUAUUUUUGCUGCAAUUGUAAAUGAAAUUGUAUUCUUGAGUUCUUGUUCUGUUAGUUCAUUAUUUGAGUAUGGAAAUGCUACUGAUUUUUGUAAGUUGACUUUAUACCCUGCAAUUUUGCUGUAGUUGUUGAUUAUUUCUAAUAGUUUUCCGAUGGAUUCUUUAGGGUUUUCUAUAUAUAAAAUCAUGUCAUCUGCAAACAACGAGAGUUUCACUUCUUCAGUGCCUAUUUGGAUUUCUUUUAUUUCUUUUUCUUGCCUAAUUGCUCUGGCCAAAACCUCUAGUACUAUGUUGAAUAAGAGUGGUGAGAGUAGGCACCCUUGUCUUGUUCCUGUUCUCAGAGUGAUGGCUUUCAGUUUUUCCCCAUUGAGUAUGAUUUUGGCUGUGGGCUUGUCAUAUAUGGCCUUUAUUAUAUUGAGGUACUUUCCGUCUACAUGCAUUUUAUUGAGAGUUUUUAUCAUGCAUGGAUGUUGGAUCUUGUCAAAUGCUUUGUCUGCAUCUAUGGAGCUUAUCAUGUGGUUUUUGUUCCUCAUUUUGUUACUGUGGUGAAUCGCAUUGAUGGAUUUGCAGAUGUUGAACCAUCCUUGUGUCCCUGGUAUGAAUCCCACUUGAUCAUGGUGUAUGAUCUUUUUAAUGUAUUGCUGUAUUCAGUUUGCCAAUAUUUUGUUCAGGAUUUUUGCAUCUAUAUUCAUCAGUGAUAUUGGCCUGUAAUUUUCUUUCUUUAUGUUGUCCUUAUCUGGCUUUGGUAUCAGGGUGAUGUUGGCCUUGUAGAAUGUGUUAAGAAUAUUUCCAUCUUCCUCUAUUUUUUGGAAUAGUUUGAGAAGAAUGGGUAAUAAAUCUUCUUGAAAUGUUUGGUAGAAUUCUCCUGAGAAGCCAUCUGGUCAUGGACUUUUAUUUUGGGGGAGGUUUUUGAUAACUGCUUUAAUCUCUUUACUUGUGAUUGGUCUGUUCAGAUACUCUAUUUUUUCUUCAUUCAGUCUUGGGAGGGUGUAAGAGUCUAAGAAUUUAUCCAUCUCUUCUAGAUUGUCCAGUUUGUUGGUGCAUAGUUUUUCAUAAUGUUCUCUUAUAAUCUUUUGUAUUUCAGUAGUACCCAUUGUAAUUUCUUCCCUUUCAUUUCUAAUUUUAUUUUUUUGAGUCUUCUCUCUUUUUUUCUUAGUGAGCAUGGCUAAGGGUUUGUCAAUUUUGUUUAUCUUCUCAAAGAACCAGCUUCUUGUUUCAUUGAUACUUUCUACAGUCUUUUUUGUUUCAAUUUCAUUUAUUUCUGCUCUAAUUUUUAUUAUUUACUUCUUUCUACUGAGUCUGGGCUUUGUUUGUUCUUCUUUUUCUAAUUCUGUUAGGUGUAGUUUAAGAUUGUUUAUUUGAGCUUUUUCUUGUAUAUUAACAUAGGCCUGUAUUGCUAUAAAUUGCCCUCUUAGGACUACUUUUGCUGCGUCCUAUAUGAGUAGGUAUGGUGUUUUCAUUCUCGUUUGUCUCCAAAUAAUUUUUUAUUUCUCCUUUUAUUUCUUUGACAACCCAUUGGUUGUUUAGUAGCAUGUUGUUUAGUCUCCACAUUUUUGUUCCUUUCUCUGCUAUUUUCUUGUAGUUGAUUUCUAGUAUCAUAGCAUUAUGCUUAGAGGAGAUAGUAGAUAUGAUUUCAAUCUUCUUAAAUUUAUUGAGGUUUUCCUUGUUUCCCAAUAUAUGUUCUAUCCUUGAGAAUGUUCCAUGUGCACUUGAGAAGAAUGUAUACUCUGCUGUUUUUGGAUGGAAUACUCUAUCCAAAGUCUUUAUUCUAGAGCUAGUUUAAUCUUUAUUCUAGGGCUAGUUUAACUCUCACUUAUAUAUCUAUUAAGUUCAUCUGGUCUAGUUUUUCAUUUACUUCCACUAUCUCCUUGUUGACUUUUUGUUUGGAUGAUAUAUCCAUUGAAUUAAGUGGGGUGUUGAGGUCCCCCACUAUUAUUGUGUUGUUGGUAAUAUUUCAUUUUAUGUUUGUUAAUAAUUGCUUUAUGUACUUUGGUGCUCCUGUGUUGGGUGCAUAUAUGUUUAUAAGUGUUAUGUCUUCUUGCUGGAGAGUCCCUUUUAUCAUUAAAUGCUUCCCCUCUGUGUCUCUCUUUACGUUUUAUCACGAAGUCUACUUUGUCUGAUAUAAGUAUGGCAACAUCUGCAUUCUUUUGUUUGCCAUUAGCUUGGAGUAGUGUCUUCUAUCCCUUCACUCUGAGCUGAUGUUUGUCUUUAGAGCUGAGAUGUGUUUCCUGGAGGAAGCACAUUGUUGGGUCUUGUUCUUUAAUCCAUCCUGCCACUCUGUGUCUUUUGAUUGGAAAAUUUAGUCCAUUUAAAUUUAAGGUGAUUAUUGAUAUAAUCACUUAAUACUUAAUACUGCCAUCUUAUUGCAUGUUUUCCAGUUCUUCUGCAUAUCCUUUUUUCUUGUCCCAUGUAUAUUGGGCUACCGAUUUGAUUAGGUAGUUUUCUAUGUUGGUUUUCUUCAUUUUCUCCUUGUUUAUCAUAUAUGUCUCUGUUCUAAUUAUUUGUUUAGUGGUUACCAUUAGGUUCGUAUAAAAAGUCUCGAAGAUGAGAAAGUCCAUUUUCUGAUUGCCUCCUAUUUCCUUAGACUAUACUGAUUCCAUCCCUCUCCUCUUCCUCUUCUAAUUUAUUUUUUGUCACAUCUUAUUCCAUCUUGUGUUGUGAGUUUGUGGUUAAGGUGAUGAUGUAAUUUUUAUUUUGGUGUUUUCCUUUUCUUCAUUCUUGAUGUAAGAAUUAAGUGUUUACCAACCUGAUCUGAUAGACAGCUGCCAAUUUCUGAUUGUUGCAUACCUCUUCAUCUCCUUUCUCAGGGCUCUGUAACCCUUUUCCUGUUUUCUUUUUUCUACUUGCAGGUGUGAGAGCCUUCUUGAGGAUUUCUUGUAGUGGGGGGUCUUGUGGUGAUGAACUCCCUUAGCUUUUGUUUAUCUGGGGAAGUUUUUAUUUCUCCAUCAUUUCUGAAGGAGAUUUUCACUGGAUAGAGAAUUCUUGGCUGGAAGUUUUUGCCUUUCAGGAUUUUGAACAUAUCAUUCCACUCUCUCCUAGCCUGUAAGGUUUCUGCUGAGAAAUCCUGUGAAAGCCUGACAGGGAUUCCUUUGUAAGUUAUUUUCUCCUGCUUUGCUGCCCUUAAUAUUUUUUCUUUGUCAUUGAGUUUUGCCAGUUUUAUUACUAUAUGCCUUGCAGUAGGUCUUUUUACAAUAACAUAGUUGGGAGUUCUGUUAGCCUCUUUUACGUGUAUUUCCAUCUCCUUUCCCAGGUUUGGGAAAUUCCCCACUAUUGUUUCUUUGAACAAGCUUUCUGCUCCAUUCUCCUUUUCUUCCCCCUCUUGAAUACCUUUAAUCCUUAUGUUGCAUUUCCUAAUUGAGUCAGAUAUUUCUCUGAGAGCCUCUUUAUUUCUUUUUAUUCUUAGUUCUCUCUUCUCCUCCCUCUGAAGCAUUUCUAUAGUAUUGUCUUCUAAAUUGUUAAUUUGGCCUUCCAUAUUGUCAGUUUUGUUGUUUAGGGAGUCCAGAUUUUUAAAAUCUCAUCCAUUAUGUUUUUCAUCUCCAACAAUUCUGAUUGGUUCUUCUUUAAAGUUUAAAUCUCUUUUGUGAAGAAGCUCCUGAAUUCAUUAAUUUGUCUUUCUGUGUUUUCUUGUAACUCAUUGAGUUUUUUUAUGAUAGCUAUUUUGAAUUCUUUCUCAUUUAGGUUAUAUAUUUCUGUGUCUUUGGGAUUGUCUUCUGGGUAUUUGUCAUCUUCCUUCUUGUCUGGAGAUUUAAAAUACUUUUUCCUAUUGCUUGAUGGUGUGGAUUUUUGCCUCCACAUGGCGUUAUUGUCUGGUCGCUGCUGCCAUGUCCCGCCACUUUGUGAGGAUCAGGCGCUGUGUAUUCUGAGUCCAGCACAAUCUGGGCAUCCCCAGCUCUGGCCACUGGCUGCUUUUCUCACUGUGUGAUGCUCUGGCUGAUGGCAGAUCUGGAGCACUGGGCAGGGGGAGGGGUACUCUCCUUCCCCUGUGCUUCCCUCAGCCUCCACUUCUCACUCUGUGUGGAGCUCUGGGUGAUAGCAGGACUGGAGUGCCAGGUGGGGUGAGGAACACUUUCUUAUACCUGCAUGCCCCUCCCAACCAAUGCCUCUCUCUCCGCAUGGUGCUCUGUGCACUCACAGGGCUCCACCUGCCACUGCUUCUCUCUCCGUGUGGUGCUGCCUGCGAUUGUGUGGCUGGAGCACAGGGCUGGCACACCAGGGCAGGAACAGAGUGCCCCUCCCCAGCUGAGCCGCUAGUCUAACUGGCCCAUCUCUCAUUGUGCCACUCUCUGGGUGAACGUGGGGCUGGAGUGUGGGGCUGGUGCAUUGGGCGGGAACAGAGCACCCUCUUCCCAGCUGAGCUGCUCAUUUAACUUCCCCCUCCCUCA
rnacentral:lncRNA from 1 species